UACGUAGGCAGCGAGCGUUGUUCGGAGUUACUGGGCGUAAAGAGUGCGUAGGCGGUUUUCUAAGUUUGGUGUGAAAUCUCCCGGCUCAACUGGGAGGUGCGCCGAAGACUGGAAGGCUUGAGUAUGGGAGAGGUAAGCGGGAAUUCCUGGUGUAGCGGUGGAAAUGCGUAGAUAUCAGGAGGAACACCUGCGGUGUAGACGGCUUACUGGACCAUAACUGACGCUGAGGCACGAAAGCGUGGGGAGCAAACAGG
rnacentral:rRNA from 1 species